AUGAAUUCAAAGAAAGAUGAUUUGGAUGAUGUAUUGAAACUGGUAUCUUUCUUUAAAGACAUGAAUGCAAUCAAUGAUGUGUUUUUCUAUGACAUACAAGUAGACAAUGACAAAUCAGCUAAAAAUAUUUUCUGGUCCAAUGCAAGUUGCCAAGGAGUGUAUCAAGAGUUUGGCGAUUGCAUAACAUUCGACACAACUUACAAGACUAACAGAUUUCAUAUGCCUUUGCGAGUGUUUGUUGGAACAAACCAUCACUUAGAGUCAACGAUAUUUGUUGUUGCCCUGAUCGGAGACGAAGAUGCAAAGUCAUUCAAGCGGCUGUGCAUGAACAACAAACACCCAACUUGCAUUCUAACAGGUAAGUUCAAAAAAAGAACUCUACAAGUUUCAUCAAUUUUUCAGUCUAUGGACACUAUUAGGGAAAACCUUAUACACAGAAGUUUAUCAGUAGCGCGGUCUAAAAACGGGCGCUACUGCUAA
rnacentral:rRNA from 1 species